UAGUCGCAAAGCGCUAAUAUCCAAACCCUCUCAAGAUACGAUAACUUCUUUUCUCCGCAGCCUUCUUUGCAGAACUAAGGUUUUGAAAGCGAACUUCGUUUCAUCGUCACCAUGAGAGCCAAGUGGAAGAAGAAGCGCAUGAGGAGGUUGAAGAGGAAGCGCCGAAAGAUGAGACAGAGAUCCAAGUAGUUUUGCCGCCAUCCACCAUCAAUCGACGUCGUCUCUCACCCGAUCCCCAUGUUUUGUUUUCUAAUCAAGUAAUCAGUACCGAUUAGUCAGCUUGUAGUCGUUGUGUACUUUUGUGAUUCUCUCAGUUUGAACAAUUUUUGCUUAAUUUCAGUCAGCUUUCAAACCAUAUUAUGAGCUUUAAAAUAACUGAUUUUCUAUCUGAGCC